UACAGAGGCCUCGAGCGUUAGGCGGAAUCACUGGGCUUAAAGCGUGUGUAGGCGGAUCGUUAAGUACCUUGUGAAAUCCCACGGCUCAACCGUGGAACGGCUGGGUAUACUGGCGGUCUUGGGCCAUUCAGGGGCGACUGGAACAAGCGGUGGAGCGGUGAAAUGCGUAGAUAUCGUCUGGAACGCCAAAGGUGAAAACAGACUGCUGGGAGUGUGCUGACGCUGAGACACGAAAGCCAGGGGAGCAAACGGG
rnacentral:rRNA from 1 species